rnacentral:rRNA from 1 species
AGGUCAAGCGUGGGGACUCUAGCGGAACUGCCAGACGGUAAGCGUGCGGGGAAGUGGGGGAUGACGUCAAAUCAGCACGGCCCUUACGUCCAGGGCUACACACGUGUUACAAUGGCCAGUACAGAGGGCAGCCACCCCGCGAGGGGGCGCUAAUCCUAAAAGCUGGUCCCAGUUCGGAUCGGAGUCUGCAACCCGACUCCGUGAAGCUGGAUUCGCUAGUAAUCGCGCAUCAGCCACGGCGCGGUGAAUACGUUCCCGGGCCUU